rnacentral:lncRNA from 10 species
AAAAAAAAAAAAAAAAAAGAUUAAAGACCUAAAUGUAAGACCUUAAACUAUAAAACUCUUAGAGAAAACACAGGGGAAAAUGACAUCGAAUUUGUCAGUGAUUUCUUGGAUAUAAACAAUGGUUUACAAGCAACAAAAAAUAAAUUGGUCCUCAUCAAAUUUUAAAAUGUUAACAUUAAUUUUAAAAUUAAAAUGAAAAACCCGGCCGCGUGCGGUGGCUCACGCCUGUAAUCCCAGCACUUUGGGAGGCCGAGGUGGGCGGAUCACCUGAGGUCAGGGGUUGGAGACCAGCCUAGCCAACAUGGUGAAACCCCGUCGCUCCUAAAAAUACAAAAAUUAGCCAGGCCUGGUGUCAGGCGCUUGUAAUCCCAGCUACUUGGGAGGCUGAGGCAGGAGAAUUGCUUGCACCGGGAGGCGGUGUUGCUGUGAGCCGAGAUCGUGCUACUGCACUCCAGCCUGGGCAACAGAGUGAGACUCUGUCUCAAAAAAAAAAAAAAAAAAAUAGCCGGGCAUGGUGGCUCCCAGCACUUUGGGAGGCUGAGGUGGGCAGAUCAUGAGGUCAGAAGGUCAGGACCAACCUGGACAAUAUGGUGAAACCCUGUCUCUACUAAA